rnacentral:rRNA from 1 species
ACUCCUACGGGAGGCAGCAGUGGGAAUAUUGCACAAUGGGCGAAAGCCUGAUGCAGCAACGCCGCGUGAGGGACGACGGCCUUCGGGUUGUAAACCUCUUUAGCAGGAAAGAAGCGAAAGUGACGGUACCUGCAGAAAAGCGCCGGCUAACUACGUGCCAGCAGCCGCGGUAAUACGUAGGGCGCAAGCGUUAUCCGGAAUUAUUGGGCGUAAAGAGCUCGUAGGCGGUCUGUCGCGUCUGCUGUGAAAACCCGAGGCUCAACCUCGGGCCUGCAGUGGGUACGGGCAGACUAGAGUGCGGUAGGGGAGAUUGGAAUUCCUGGUGUAGCGGUGGAAUGCGCAGAUAUCAGGAGGAACACCGAUGGCGAAGGCAGAUCUCUGGGCCGUAACUGACGCUGAGGAGCGAAAGGGUGGGGAGCAAACAGGCUUAGAUACCCUGGUAGGCUCUGC